CCUACGGGGCGCUGCAGUGGGGAAUAUUGCACAAUGGGGGAAACCCUGAUGCAGCGACGCCGCGUGAGUGAAGAAGUAAUUCGUUAUGUAAAGCUCUAUCAGCAGGGAAGAAAAUGACGGUACCUGAGUAAGAAGCCCCGGCUAACUACGUGCCAGCAGCCGCGGUAAUACGUAGGGGGCAAGCGUUAUCCGGAUUUACUGGGUGUAAAGGGAGCGUAGACGGCAGUGCAAGUCUGGAGUGAAAGGCGGGGGCUCAACCCCCGGACUGCUCUGGAAACUGUCAAACUGGAGUAUGUGAGAGGGCGGCGGAAUUCCUGGUGUAGGAGUGAAAUCCGUAGAUAUCAGGAGGAACAUCAGUGGCGAAGGCGGCCGCCUGGCACAAAACUGACGCUGAGGUGCGAAAGUGUGGGUAUCAAACAGGAUUAGAUACCCCAGUAGUC
rnacentral:rRNA from 1 species